rnacentral:tRNA from 1 species
UCCGUUGUAGUCUAGUUGGUCAGGAUACUCGGCUCUUACCCGGUAGACCCGGGUUCAAGUCCUGGCAACGGAA